rnacentral:rRNA from 1 species
AAUUUUGGACAAUGGGCGCAAGCCUGAUCCAGCCAUGCCGCGUGUGUGAAGAAGGUCUUCGGAUUGUAAAGCACUUUAAUUUGGGAGGAAGGGUUUACACCUAAUACGUGUGAACUUUGACGUUACCAAAAGAAUACGCACCGGCUAACUUCGUGCCAGCAGCCGCGGUAAUACGAAGGGUGCAAGCGUUAAUCGGAAUUACUGGGCGUAAAGCGCGCGUAGGUGGUUCGUUAAGUUGGAUGUGAAAGCCCCGGGCUCAACCUGGGAACUGCAUCCAAAACUGGCGAGCUAGAGUACGGUAGAGGGUGGUGGAAUUUCCUGUGUAGCGGUGAAAUGCGUAGAUAUAGGAAGGAACACCAGUGGCGAAGGCGACCACCUGGACUGAUACUGACACUGAGGUGCGAAAGCGUGGGGAGCAAACAGG